rnacentral:lncRNA from 1 species
GGCGGAUGGGCCGCUCCUCGUCUGCGUCUAUGGGCACGUUGGUGCUCUGGAUCCACGUGUUGGUGCACAGGUGCCGCAGGCGCACAUAGGAGUUCCUGUAGGCGGGUGGGUGCUCAGACUCCCCACACCAACUGACAGCCCUGGGGCAGGGCCACCAGCACUGCCUGGGAAGCCUGCAGCCAGGCCCAGAGGAGCAAGUCGGAGCCUGUCCCUGAACCCAGGGCCAGAAUUCACACACAGAGCAAGGCUGCUGAGGCUUUAUCUCAUUUAAAGUAGAGACACAUGCGGGUCACAGAAAUCGUCUCUGAUUACAAAACCCAAGUUCAUCUUUUUUUUUUUUUUUUUGCCAUACUGGGGGUUAAACCCAGGCCUUCGCAUUAAGCUACAUCUCUAGCCCUUUUUAUUAUUAUUAUUUUUAAUCUUGAGGGAAAAAUCUCACUAAGUUGCUAAAUUGCCCAGACUGGGCUUGAAGUUUCGAUCAUCCUGCCUCAGCCUCCCCAAAGUGCUGGGAUUGCAGGCCUACACCACCAUGCUCAACUACAGGAUCGUCUUUCUGAGAUGAAAGACCACCUGAAUCUCAAAAUGCAUCUGGCCCCAAGGCUUUCAGCUUCCAGAAGGGCUGGAUGAAGAGCCAGGAGCCCUCGUUGCCCGUGGCAUCCAGCGUCACCCGCAUGGCGUUUUUCUCCAGCAGCGCAGGGAGUCGCUUGUUCACCGUCAGGGAGCCCCACCAGCUCGAGCCAUGCUGUUAUUACAGACGGGAAAACUGAGCCACAAGAGGGUAACUUGCCCGAG